rnacentral:rRNA from 1 species
GACGAACGCUGGCGGCGCGCCUAACACAUGCAAGUCGAAAGGAGUCAAGAGGAGCUUGCUUUUCUUGACUUAGUGGCGAACGGGUGAGUAACGCGUGAGUAACCUGCCCUGGAGUGGGGGACAACGGUUGGAAACGACUGCUAAUACCGCAUAAGCCCACGGCCUGGCAUCGGGCUGAGGGAAAAGGAUUUAUUCGCUUCAGGAUGGACUCGCGUCCAAUUAGCUAGUUGGUGAGGUAACGGCCCACCAAGGCGACGAUUGGUAGCCGGACUGCGAGGUUGAUCCGCCGCAUUGGGACUGAGACACGGCCCAGACUCCUACGGGAGGCAGCAGUGGGGGAUAUUGCACAAUGGGGGAAACCCUGAUGCAGCGACGCCGCGUGGAGGAAGAAGGUUUUCGGAUUGUAAACUCCUGUCGUUAGGGACGAUAAUGACGGUACCUAACAAGAAAGCACCGGCUAACUACGUGCCAGCCGCCGCAGUAA